rnacentral:rRNA from 1 species
GUUGGUAAUUAUGACAUUGAGGGUCCACCCGUUCCCAUUCCGAACACGGUAGUUAAGCUCAAUCGUGCCGACAAUACUUGGUGGGCAACCGCCCGGGAAGAUAGGUCGUUGCCAACA